rnacentral:lncRNA from 1 species
UCAUACCCUUGGAGUAUUCUCGGCAGACACUUGCAUAAAAGCACUGCCCCAAGAAUCUCUACUUUCCCCACAUCACAUCAAAAUGUGGAACAUGGACCCAUUAAAAGAAAAAGUCAUCAGACAGUUUAAGCAUAGAUACAAUCUUCCAAAAUGAAAUAAAUACAAUCCCAAGAGAAAGACAUCUAGUCCUUAUACAACCACCUAAUCUGAUCAUGCUACAAAACUACACCACCCUGGUGAUCUCCACGCGCCCCGCAAGAUCCUCCUGACACAGCUUUGGUCAAGUAUGACUAACUACUUUCCCAUCUCCAAGGUACUAACCGGUAGGAUGAUCCUGUUUCUCAUCUGAGGGCAAAGCCCAGAUUUCCACAAUAAUUGUAAAGGUCACCAACCGAAAUUAACAAACAUCACAUAACAAAAUUCUUAUAUUUUCAAAUGCUCAAAAGAACCUUUCGUCUUAGCAUACUCCUCGAAAGGGUUUUCAUAUGUUCAAAAAUGCAUAAACAAUGUUGAAAAAUGAAGUUUU